GCUAGCGUGGCAGAGCUUGGCAAAUGCAAAAGGCUUAAGCCCUUUAACCAGAGGUUCAAGUCCUCUCCCUAGCU
rnacentral:tRNA from 5 species